GGUAGUAGACUGCAUAAGUCUCAGCUAAGCCUGAAGGCCUUUAGUUUAUUCUCCCUCUAUCACAUGAUCAACCUGACCUGUAAUCGUCUGAGAAAUCUGGGUCUGGCAGCACGCAAUCCAUCCAACCCUUCCUCCCCCUCCUCUGUCUCGUUCUCUUUCUGUCUUCCCCUCCAAUCUCUCUCUUUCUCUCUCCCUUCCUCUCCACAAAACUAAUAAACUGUAUUUCACUUUCAAGUGAGCAUCAGACAUCUCCAUCUGUCACUGAGAGCUGGUGUUGAUCAGCUGUCCACCAGAGUACUGAAAUCUAAAUCAUCAUUUGUUAUGUUUAGAUUUACGUCAUCAUAAUUCAUCCUACGUUUUCUUAUGAUGUUUGUCUGGAGUAUGGACUGUUCAUCUCUGUCCUCCCUCCCCCUCACAGGACGGCUGCAGCUGUUACUGGCUAACCAGAGGAAACAUUUACACAAGGUUUCAAAAGGACAAGGUCAGGGAGAGUGUGUGUUUUAAAAAGACAGUCGGGUCUUUCAUCUGAUCAUUACAAUGUGAAAGACUCUCUUACCCCAGAGAUACUGUACACACACACACACACACCAAUAAGACAUGGAAGUGCUUUGAUUCUGUGUGUCUAGCCCAUUAGUAAUGUAUUCAUUGAGCAGGGGUGAGAUCUGAACCACUGCACCUCUGUCCCUCGGACACACACAGCUUACUGAUGAACCACAGAUGACUUCCUUCUUGUUGUGAAUGGACCAAUGAGAGUGGCUGGUCCUCGCGGACCAAUGACACCA